rnacentral:rRNA from 1 species
AGAUUGAAAGAGGAUAGAGGAAUUCCUAGUGUAGAGGUAAAAUUCGUAAAUAUUAGGAGGAACACCAGUGGCGAAGGCGUCUAUCUGGUUCAAAUCUGACGCUGAGGCGCGAAGGCGUGGGGAGCAAACAGGAUUAGAUACCCUGGUAGUCCACGCUGUAAACGAUGAAUGUUAAAUAUGGGAAAUUUAUUUUCUGUAUUACAGCUAACGCGUUAAACAUUCCGCCUGGGGACUACGGUCGCAAGAUUAAAACUCAAAGGAAUUGACAGGGACCCGCACAAGCGGUGGAGCAUGUGGUUUAAUUCGAUGCAACGCGAAAAACCUUACCACUCCUUGACAUGGAAAUCAUACCUAUUCGAAGGGAUAGGGUCGGUUCGGCCGGAUUUCACACAGGUGUUGCGUGGCUGUCGUCAGCUCGUGUCGUGAGAUGUUGGGUUAAGUCCCGCAACGAGCGCAACCCUCAUCCUUAGUUACCAUCAGAUAAUGCUGGGGACUUUAAGGAAACUGCUAGUGAUAAACUGGAGGAAGGUGGGGAUGAUGUCAAGUCAUCAUGGCCCUUAUGGAGUGGGCUACACACGUGCUACAAUGGUGGCUACAAUGGGCUGCAAAGUCGCGAGGCUAAGCUAAUCCCUCAAAAGCCAUCUCAGUUCGGAUUGCACUCUGCAACUCGAGUGCAUGAAGUUGGAAUCGCUAGUAAUCGUGGAUCAGCAUGCCACGGUGAAUACGUUCUCGGGUCUUGU